rnacentral:rRNA from 1 species
UACGUAGGGGGCGAGCGUUGUCCGGAUUUAUUGGGCGUAAAGAGCUCGUAGGCGGUUUGGCAAGUCGGGUGUGAAAACUCCGGCUCAACUCGGAGACGCCACUCGAUACUGCUAUGACUCGAGUCCGGUAGGGGAGUGCGGAAUUCCUGGUGUAGCGGUGAAAUGCGUAGAUAUCGGAAGGAACACCUGUGGCGAAAGCGGACUCACUGGACCAUUACUGACGCUGAGGCACGAAAGCUAGGGGAGCAACAGG